rnacentral:rRNA from 1 species
AUUGAACGCUGGCGGAAUGCUUUACGCAUGCAAGUCGAGCGGCAGCGCGGCCUUCGGGCUGGCGGCGAGCGGCGAACGGGUGAGUAAUGCAUCGGAACAUGCCCAGUCGUGGGGGAUAACACUUCGAAAGAAGUGCUAAUACCGCAUACGUCCUGAGGGGGAAAGCGGGGGAUCGCAAGACCUCGCGCGAUUGGAGUGGCCGAUGUCAGAUUAGCUAGUUGGUGGGGUAAAGGCCUACCAAGGCGACGAUCUGUAGCUGGUCUGAGAGGAUGAUCAGCCACACUGGGACUGAGACACGGCCCAGACUCCUACGGGAGGCAGCAGUGGGGAAUUUUGGACAAUGGGGGCAACCCUGAUCCAGCCAUGCCGCGUGAGUGAAGAAGGCCUUCGGGUUGUAAAGCUCUUUCGGCAGGAACGAAACGGUGGGCUCUAACAUAGUCCGCUAAUGACGGUACCUGGAGAAGAAGCACCGGCUAACUACGUG